AACAUCACAUUGGCUUCGAUUUCCUCACAUAACUUGCAAGACUUUGUAAGCUUCUCCAUUUCCAAUCAUUCUUACUAUUUUUCAUCCCAAAAAUAUACUCAAUACUGAUCUUAUCUCUAAGCCAUGGGACAAAUUCUUGAAAAAUUUCAAGGCAAGCAAUGGAGAGAAAGACAGAUGCGGAAGAUAACAGAUAAGGUGUUUUAUCGUUUCAAAGAUGAAACAGGAAAAGCUUAUCUCAAGUUUGAAGACCUUUACAUAGCUGUUCUACUUGUCUACAAUGAUAUCAACAAGCUUUUGCCUGGUCCUCACUUUGAUCCUCCU